AGUAGUAUGUAGAUAUCGGCAUAUCGCCAUAUUGGAUUAGCAGAUGGCAAGAUUUUCUACUGAUGGAAGUUACCGUACAUGUAAUGGUGCAGUGGAUGGGCUUCAAGCAAGAGGGUAUCUGCUGCCAUACUCUUCUGCAGUUACAAGAAGGCAUCAGUCAGUGCAAUCUUUGUUGCGUUGUACCACUCUUGUGGUGUUCGCAAGCUGAUGACUCUACAACGGUGGUCGUGGUCCGGAGAGCUUCAUCCUCAGUUUGUGCCGGCUGCGAUGGACGGUCACCAAGCUGCACCCCAUAGAGGCCAUCCAAAACGGUAGAAGGGUUUCUACCAUUCAGGGCUCCCAUCUGUCCUAAUCCUAUGUAAGGCGACGAAACGCUGCAAUCCACUUAUGCUCUUGAGCCCUGCAGAUAAGAUGCAGUUGAUUUCCUUUGAGCAACAACUACGCUCGUUCACCUCUCAAACUAA